GCAUCGGUGGUUUAGUGGUAAAAUUAGCCGUUGCCAAGAAACAGUUCAUUGAGCUGAUUCACAACUUCGGCUAGCCCCGGGUUCGAUUCCCGGCCGAUGCA